rnacentral:lncRNA from 1 species
CAGUCCACAGCCCCCCAAGCAUGAAAUCCGUAGGAAUGAAAUGCUUAAGUACAAUUCGAAUUUCCCUCCAAAAUUCUUGGCGCGCGAUAUACCGCGUUUCUCUCCCACUCUUUGGUGCACGUUCUUACAUUCAUGAGCAACUCUCAUUAACCGUUUCCCCUCCUGCUGCUGCCACGAUGAGAGUCUCCAUCUAUAAAAGUGGUACUUUGAUGAAAUAAUCAGUUCAUCCCUUCUUACCUGCAGAACUCUAAGCUUUCCUUUCAGAGUUAUGUCUCCCAAAAAUCCUUCUUUCGAAUGUGGUCAGUCCCCGGCUUCCCCUGUCAUUAAGCGGCUCCGGCGUAUGUUGGCCUUAAGCACGGAGGACUUGAUGGAUGAUUUUGGCGAAUUCUCAGAGUUCGUCAAAGAGCUGAACGAUUAUUGCUGGAGGCUGACCAAGGAAGAGAAGCGUUUUCUUGACAGUGUGCUGCGUCUAGAGAAAGAGUUGAAGGAUAGUGCAUCCUUCGUGAUUGCUGUGGAGAAUGUCAAAGAAUGCCAUGCCGAAGUUACCGAAGCUGUCGACAGCCAGAUAGAGAUCACGAAAGAGACCAUGGGUGUGCAGGAGGAAAUCUUAGGG